rnacentral:SRP_RNA from 1 species
GCUGGGCAUGGUGGUGUGUGCCUGUAGUCCCAGCUACUUGGGAGGCUGAGGCAAAAGAAUGGCUUGAAUCUGGGAGGCUGAGGUUGCAGUGUGCCGAGAUUGCACCACUGCACUCCAGCCUGGGUGAUAGAGCAGGACCUUGUCUCAU